GACGAACGCUGGCGGCGUGCCUAAUACAUGCAAGUCGAACGCAGUGGGAACGGGUGAGUAACACGUGGGUGACCUCCCUGCACUUCGGGAUAAGACUGGGAAACUGGGUCUAAACCGGAUCGCUGGGCCCGAGGCCUAUCAGCUGGUUGGUGGGUUAAUGGCCUACCAAGGCGGCGACGGGUAGCCGGCCUGGGAGUGUGGACGGCAAAAUUUGGACGGAGAAACGGCCCAGACUCCUAGGGGAGGCAGCAGGAGGGAAUCUUCCGCAAGGGGCGAAAGCCUGACGGAGCAACGCCGCGGGAGUGAUGAAGGUCUUCGGAUCGUAAAACUCUGUUAUUAGGGAAGCGGUACCUAAUCAGAAAGCCACGGCUAACUACGUGCCAGCCGCCGCGGUAAUUC
rnacentral:rRNA from 1 species